ACUCCUGCGGGAGGCAGCAGUGAGGAAUAUUGGACAAUGGGUGGAAGCCUGAUCCAGCCAUCCCGCGUGCAGGAAGACGGCCCUAUGGGUUGUAAACUGCUUUUAUCUGGGGAUAAACCUACUUACGUGUAAGUAGCUGAAGGUACCAGAAGAAUAAGCACCGGCUAACUCCGUGCCAGCAGCCGCGGUAAUACGGAGGGUGCAAGCGUUAUCCGGAUUUAUUGGGUUUAAAGGGUCCGUAGGCGGACUGAUAAGUCAGUGGUGAAAUCCGACAGCUUAACUGUCGAACUGCCAUUGAUACUGUUAGUCUUGAGUAAGGUUGAAGUGGCUGGAAUAAGUAGUGUAGCGGUGAAAUGCAUAGAUAUUACUUAGAACACCAAUUGCGAAGGCAGGUCACUAAGUCUUAACUGACGCUGAUGGACGAAAGCGUGUGGAGCGAACAGGAUUAGAAACCCUAGUAGUCCCAUGA
rnacentral:rRNA from 1 species